rnacentral:rRNA from 1 species
AACGAACGCUGGCGGCAUGCCUAACACAUGCAAGUCGAACGAGACCUUCGGGUCUAGUGGCGCACGGGUGCGUAACGCGUGGGAACCUGCCCUUAGGUUCGGAAUAACUCCCCGAAAGGGGUGCUAAUACCGGAUAAUGUCUUCGGACCAAAGAUUUAUCGCCUUUGGAUGGGCCCGCGUUGGAUUAGCUAGUUGGUAGGGUAAAAGCCUACCAAGGCGACGAUCCAUAGCUGGUCUGAGAGGAUGAUCAGCCACACUGGGACUGAGACACGGCCCAGACUCCUACGGGAGGCAGCAGUGGGGAAUAUUGGACAAUGGGCGAAAGCCUGAUCCAGCAAUGCCGCGUGAGUGAUGAAGGCCUUAGGGUGGUAAAGCUCUUUUACCCGGGAUGAUAAGGACAGUACCGGGAGAAUAAGCUCCGGCUAACUCCGU